GACGAACGCUGGCGGCGUGCUUAACACAUGCAAGUCGAACGGAAAGGCCCUGCUUUUGUGGGGUGCUCGAGUGGCGAACGGGUGAGUAACACGUGAGUAACCUGCCCUUGACUUUGGGAUAACUUCAGGAAACUGGGGCUAAUACCGGAUAGGAGCUCCUGCUGCAUGGUGGGGGUUGGAAAGUUUCGGCGGUUGGGGAUGGACUCGCGGCUUAUCAGCUUGUUGGUGGGGUAGUGGCUUACCAAGGCUUUGACGGGUAGCCGGCCUGAGAGGGUGACCGGGCACAAUGGGAAUGAGAAACGGGCCAGACUCCUACGGGAGGCAGCAGUGGGGAAUAUUGCACAAUGGGCGGAAGCCUGAUGCAGCAACGCCGCGUGCGGGAUGACGGCCUUCGGGUUGUAAACCGCUUUCGCCUGUGACGAAGCGUGAGUGACGGUAAUGGGUAAAGAAGCACCGGCUAACUACGUG
rnacentral:rRNA from 1 species